AACGAACGCUGGCGGCGUGCCUAACACAUGCAAGUCGAACGGAAUUUGAGAGCUUGCUCUUAAAUUUAGUGGCGCACGGGUGAGUAACGCGUAGAUAAUCUGCCUGACGAUCUGGGAUAACACUUCGAAAGAGGUGCUAAUACCGGAUAAGCCCACGGAGUCUUUGGAUUCUGCGGGAAAAGGGGGGGACCUUCGGGCCUUCUGUCGUCAGAUGAGUCUGCGUACCAUUAGCUAGUUGGUAGGGUAAUGGCCUACCAAGGCGACGAUGGUUCACUGGUCUAGUAGGAUGAUAAGCCGCGCUGGAACUGAGACACUGUCCAGACUCCGGGAGGCAGCAGUGGGGAAUUGUGCGCAAUGGGCGAAAGCCUGACGCAGCCACGCCGCGUGAGUGAUGAAGUCUUUCGGGUCGUAAAGCUCUGUCGAGGGGAAAGAAGUGUACUUUGGCUAAUAUCCAUUGUACUUGACGGUACCCCUAAAGGAAGCACCGGCUAACUCCGUGCCAGCCGCCGCUGUAACAC
rnacentral:rRNA from 1 species